UGAUCUACAGGCAGAUAUGCUGCCCACCUUUGUCCUCACUGGCCUGGCACGCUCAGCCUCCUGCGAGGCCUGUGGGUUUUGUCUCCUCGCACUGUCACGGUCUCGGGGCCCCAGUCUGUCUCCAGCUCGGGGGCUCCUCCUCCCCAGUGUUCAGGGUCGGACCCCCGUUCCCAAGUCCAGCUCUGGGAACAGGCAGCACGGGCUGCCCACAGGCCCCAGGAGGUCCUCCCACCUCCUCGGCCUCCCAGGGCCCCAAAGCCUGGCUCUCUGGCCCGCAAGGGGCAGCCCCGGGCCCCAAGCCAUCCCACAACGCCUGAGCCCCGCUGCCAUCCUCAGCGGCAGCCAGGCCCAUGACAAAUGUGGGGAGGGCCCCGUUCCCCAAACUCAUUGGCCUCCCAAGCCCGCAGGGCCCCGCAAACGCACAGAGGGACCAGGGCUCCGAAACAGCCUCCUUCCCGGCCUUCUCCCCUGCUGCCCUUCGGGGCUCACUGAGCUGGGAGGAGAACACCCUCCAUCCAGGAAGGAGGGCACGAUGGGCCCCUGGCUCUGACACCCCGGGGAUGCUGACGGAGCCCAAGCGGCGGAAGCAGCUGGUUCAGCACCAGCUCAGGGGAUCUCCAAGCACUGGUUAGACGCCUCUGCGUACCAGGCUCACCGAGAGUGCCCAGAGCCUGCGGCCACGGAGCUGCCCCUCUGGAAAGGCUCGGGGGCGGACGGUCGGCCUCCCACGGGGCCCCGCCCCCUCGGCCAGGUCCCACCCCCACUCCUACAGCCCCGGCCUGGGCCGCUGUCCCCUCCUGUCCUCUUCUGGUCCCUCGGACCCCGCCAUGCCCCGCGGAAGCCGCAGCACCCCUGCGCCUACCUCGUCGGGCAGGCUCCCCAGCCAGUGCCGGCAGCCCCUUCGCGGCCCUGCUACUAUGAAAUCAAGCAGUUCCUGGACUGUUCAACCACACAGAAUGACCUAACCUUGUGUGAGGGCUUCAGUGAGGCCCUGAAGCAAUGCCAGCGCAG